UUGCACGCUGGCGGCAUGCUUUACACCUGCAAGUCGAACUGCAGCGCGGGCUUCGGCCUGGCGGCGAGUGGCGAACGGGUGAGUAAUACAUCGGAACGUGCCCAGUAGUGGGGGAUAGCUCGGCGAAAGCCGGAUUAAUACCGCAUACGACCUGAGGGUGAAAGCGGGGGAUCUUCGGACCUCGCGCUAUUGGCGCGGCCGAUGGCAGAUUAGCUAGUUGGUGGGGUAAAGGCCUACCAAGGCGACGAUCUGUAGCUGGUCUGAGAGGACGACCAGCCACACUGGGACUGAGACACGGCCCAGACUCCUACGGGAGGCAGCAGUGGGGAAUUUUGGACAAUGGGCGAAAGCCUGAUCCAGCAAUGCCGCGUGUGUGAUGAAGGCCUUCGGGUUGUAAAGCACUUUUGGCGGGAACGAAAAGGACUGUGCCAAUACCACGGUUCGAUGACGGUACCCGAAGAAUAAGCACCGGCUAACUACGUG
rnacentral:rRNA from 1 species